UGGCUGCUUUUCAGGCUGCUCUUUCCCGCCUCUGCCUUUAGCCAGCAUUUGCAGAGCAGCGGCUUCCCCGGAGCUGUGUGUUUUCUGCUGUGGGCAGGGAUGUCCCUUGCCAUGCACGGACACUGGGACUAUGACCUGCGGCUCCCUGCCUGCCCUGCCACGUCAGGAUGUCCCACUCCAUCUGAGGGAGCAAUAAGCAACCGAGAGAAGCUUUUCUACUAAAACCAGAAGCUCCUAAAAAAUCCCCAAGUGAGGAUUCACCCAAGAAAUGUCUGCAAAGUGAUGAGCGUUCACCCCAAGACGCCUUUCGAGAAGAAUUCAACAGUGGCCCUGGUCAAGCGUCAUUUUUAAUUCUUCAUUCGAGGGACAGGCUGUCUUCUUCUUGUAGAGGACACAAGGCUAAGAAACUCGUACAAGUCGCUAUCUCGAGAACCAGCCCCCGUCCGCCCCGGACAGGACAGGCAACAAUUACUCACGAACACGGUUUAAUGCUCAAAGUCCUUCUUUCUGUGAAGGGAGGCUUAGGAAGAGACGUUAAAGUUCAUCAAGUAUGCAAAAGUGUAGGGAGAUGCUCCUUGAAAUUUACUUAUCCGAAGGAACCAGCCUCCAGGAAAAAAUCGCUUUCCUGCCUUCUGAAAGUAGUAAAGUUUUGAAAAUUAUAUUCACAUAGAAACUGUUUCAAAAUAAGUUUACCACUCCGGGGUCGCGCUCCCCUCCCUCCUAAUUGCCUUUUUUUCCCCCUUCCAAGUCUGUAUUUUGUUCCUUCAGGUUGCGCCAACUAUUUAUUUAUCUUUAUUCUUUCUCUCUUUCUUUUCAUUCAUUAUUCUCUCUCCCUCUCAUUUUUUUUUUCUUCCUUGUGUGUGUGGCUUCUCGGUCUGAUCUGUAGCUUGUUACCACCCACUGCACGCUCUCUCCUGCAGCCGAGGUGUUUCUAUACAAACUUCAGCGUCCAGUUGUCAUAUUAAUUAUUACACUGAGUAAUGACUGAAAUAGUCAAAAUAAGGGGAGACUCAAGAGAGCUUUUUCUUGCUGCUCAAAGAUUCAGCAAAGAAGCCUUGCAACAAAGCACUAAUUGGUCCCCAGAAAUACUCUGACAAGGCAUGGAAGAUAGGUUUCAUAAAGCCCAGCAAUUGUGAAGGGGGAAAAGAUCCUUGAAUAGACCCCACGCUUCUUUUCUAAACUCUCUUGCUGAGCAAAAAAUGGACUGCUUCUUGAAUACUGGACUGAUCUUGAAUGCUAUACCCAGCAGAGAAAAAAAUGCACCAUUUAUUGUAAGUUUUUUUUCCAGCUAUUCAUGUGUUCUAUGUGGAGAAUAAGCUGGUUUUGUUUACCAUGAAAGACCUUUUACUUUAUUUUCACUCUUGGGGGGGAAGCUGGAAAGGGGAGGGGGAGGGCAAAGGGAGGGAGAGAAACACAUGUGCCCAAAUCCAGACGAGCUGCCUACUGUAACAAAAUGGAGUGUAACAAAUCCUACAGAAGUCCCGAAUGUAUCGAUUCUUUGAAGAUCUAUAUAGAUUAACGACUUUCGUUCUGCUUUUCCAAGACGGCAUUUAAUCAUAACGUAAAUGGCCUUUAAAAAAGAAAAGGGGUGGAAAAAAAAAAGCAUACCAAAGUUAAAAAAAAAAAAAAAGAAAAAGAAAAAGAAAAAGAAAA
rnacentral:lncRNA from 1 species